CCUGCCUGGUAGCGGGGGAUAACUAUUGGAAACGAUAGCUAAUACCGCAUAACAGUAGAUAUUGCAUGAUAUCUGCUUGAAAGGUGCAAAUGCAUCACUACCAGAUGGACCUGCGUUGUAUUAGCUAGUUGGUGAAGUAACGGCUCACCAAGGCGACGAUACAUAGCCGACCUGAGAGGGUGAUCGGCCACACUGGGACUGAGACACGGCCCAGACUCCUACGGGAGGCAGCAUG
rnacentral:rRNA from 1 species